GUCCGUUGGCAGAGGUGUGUGGGCGCAGGGGUCCGUUGCCAGAGGUGGGGGUCCGUUGCCAGAGGUGCCUGGGCCUAGGCUGUUCCCCGCACCCGCAGUCGUCGCUGCCGGGCCCCCGCCGGCUCACGGGCACCGGGAGCGCACGGGGGACACCCUGGGACACACGCACAGCGCCCACCCAGGGCCCGGGGGCCGCCCACCGAAACGCGACCGUCACUGGAAUUUCGGCAAAUUUACCCAGAAAUCGGCCUCCGGCCGGGAUAUAGAGGUCUCGCCGGGAGCGAGCGCCGCAGUCGACAAAAUUGUCAUUUCUAUCGGGAAAUCGGGCUCCUCCCGAGUAAAAACGGACAGGGGAUCGCAGUUUGCCCCGGCCGCCGGGAGUGCCCGUAGUGCCCCGCUACAGUGCCCCGACACUUACCUGUGCACUGGGGUCCGUUGGCAGAGGUAGGGGUCCGUUGGCAGAGGUGUGUGGG